GUUGGGCCUGGGAAUGAAGAGCUCUGGCUGCAGAAGGUGUAUGAAUUGCAGCACUAACUCUAUGGGAUUUGUAGCAGUGGGGCUAGUACUAGCAGGCGUCUAACAUGCAGGCUGGUUGUCCUGAGUCACCAUCUGGAAGGCUGGGCUGAGUUUCCAGAGGAACCAGCAGAGAAAAGAGCUCAUCGAGGCUCAGCUUGCACUUUCUCAAGCUGAGGCGUACAAUGGAAGCAGGACGGCAAGGAGCAGAUUCCUACCUCCUAAAUCUUGUGGCCAUUAGUUCCCCCUCCUUUGUUUACCUCUCCCAUUUUACUGUAGUUUCUCACCAGUUGAACAAGGCAAUGAGGUCACUGUUUGGAGAUCGGGGUGCAGAAGUCAGCCUGGGUGUGAAGGCAGAAACUAAGCAGGAGGGUUUGUCGGGGCAGAGGAAUGGGGGGACUGUACCCCAGUACAGGACUAGUAGUGGGUGCACUGGGUGAGUUUAAUAACACCUUAAACUUCCCUUUCUUCAGUACUGUUGCACAAAGCAAUUGGGUCAAAACUUGACAGGCAGCAGUGUUCUGCUGCCUUGCUUUUUUUAUUUUAUUUUAAGGAAAGAAGAAAAUUAGAAAAAAAACUAGUCUUUUGCAGAGACAACAAAAGUCACAGUUAAGUAUUUGCCCUGUCUUUCUUUCCCUUCUUCCCUCUCUUCCCAGCAUUUUGCACUUACAGAUGCAGAUUUGUGCUUCCCUGCCCAAGGAGCCAAAAGUUUUACAAACCGUUUUGCAUCCAGUCGGUGAAAAGCGAGCGUGGGGCUUCAGUUUGGAGCAGAGUCACUGGAAGCAGGAGAGACUUUGCACAGGUGGGGGCACCCAGUCACAUUUGACCAUCCAGAAGCAGCUGAGUCAGUCUGUUAGAGCGUUCAUGCUCCUGGCAAGACAGCCGCAGGCAGAUGCAUCUCAGGUGGAACGCACUGGUUCCUGGAGUCAGCUCUUUCCUGAGGAAAAGGAAUUCCUCUGUCCAUGACAGAGGAGUAGCAAUUCUUCCAGUGCCACGAGAAGCCAGUGAAGAGAGGGAGAUGCUCCACCUGAACAGCCUAUAGAAAGGGACCAACAGGAGCUCCCACUCACUGACCUUCCACUCUCACUUGACCAGGCAGCGCUGUGCCCAGGAAAGACCAAAAGAUGAACCUCAAAGCAGUGAAGGAGCCAAAAUGUCAGCCCAGUCACUGACUGCCAAACCCUCCUUCCGCCUCAGAAAGGCAGCUGUACAGCUCUCUGGAAGCAAAAAAAGCUUAACCACUUGUAGUGGAAAAGCACAGCCUGAAGGUGAGCUUAGGCAGUUUUAUGGCCACCUUGCUUCCUCCAUCCACCCAUUCAUAUCUCCUGCACGGCAGUAUUAUCAACAUAUUAUCUCAUGUAUACGCAAGAUUUAUUGCACAGACU
rnacentral:lncRNA from 1 species